UUUAUGGAGAGUUUGAUCCUGGCUCAGGAUGAACGCUGGCGGCGUGCCUAAUACAUGCAAGUCGAGCGAACGGACGAGAAGCUUGCUUCUCUGAUGUUAGCGGCGGACGGGUGAGUAACACGUGGAUAACCUACCUAUAAGACUGGGAUAACUUCGGGAAACCGGAGCUAAUACCGGAUAAUAUUUUGAACCGCAUGGUUCAAAAGUGAAAGACGGUCUUGCUGUCACUUAUAGAUGGAUCCGCGCUGCAUUAGCUAGUUGGUAAGGUAACGGCUUACCA
rnacentral:rRNA from 1 species